AUGGGGUAUGUUUGUAUAUGUGUGCCCGAUAUGUCUCACUCACUUCCUCACUGUACAAAUGUGGUCACAUCUUUGUUUUUCACAUUAACUGCUCAAGCCCCCACCUGCCCUUCUUAACAGAAAGUCCAAAAUCUCUCUGUUAAGAGACCUGUUUCCUUCCCAACUACCCAAAGACUCGGAGGAUUGAAGUCCUUACGUCAUUGUUGUAAUGACUCACCACUGCCAGAUGGUGUCACUGUUCAACACCACUCCAGCUGCAGCCCAUAGAGGCCAACAACCCUCUCCUUCAUUUCCCCAAACAGAAGAGCAGAGCUAAGCACUGCCCCGAACCAGCCCUCCCUGUCCCUCGGUGGAUGCUCAUCCACCGGAUCCCUGUGGCAAGCUGUCCGUUGAGGCUUUUGCCCUUUCCACCAGCUCCAGGAUCGGGGACAACCUCGUGCGGUCCACCUGCUGGGUGUCUCUACCUUCAGAUCUCAAGGAGAAGGGGCUGAGGAGGGGGCCCUCUUCUCCCCAGCAGGGCUGGAUUCUUAUGUAAAUUGGCCCACGUUCCCCUCCGAUCCUCUGCUUAUCCGAGCCUGAGUCCAGAGACCCUGCACAGAGCCAAGGAUGUUGCUGUAUCUGAUGGAGCCCCUGGAACCGUGGCCACUCUGGCCAUUAUCAGGGAAGCUGACCCGGGAAAGACAGAAUAAGCAGAAGACAGGAAGAACCGGGUCUUUCAAGAAGUCAUUGAGGGGCUUCCCUGGUGGCGCAGUGGUCAAGAUCUACCUGCCAGUGCAGGGGACACGGGUUCGAGCCCUGGUCCAGGAAGAUCCCACAUGCCGUGGAGCAACUAAGCCCGUGCGCCACAACUACUGAGCCCGUGAGCCACAACUACUGAAGCCCACAUGCCUAGAGCCUGUGCUCUGCAACAAGAGAAGCCACCACAAUGAGAAGCCUACACACUGCAACAAAGAGUAGCCCCCGCUGGCCGCAACUAGAGAAAAGCCCUCGUGCAGCAAUGAAGACCCAACGCAGCCAAAAAAAAAUUAAAAAAAAAAAAGUCAUUGAGCUAAUGACUUAACCAACUCUGGGUCAAACUACACUCAGACUUCUGGCUAUAUGAGAGAAUAAACACCCUUACUGUUGCUGCUGUUUGAGUUAUAAAGCAUCACCAGUGAGAGGUUGAGGGAACAAAUGAAUGAAUGACUCUGACCACGAGCAUAAGAAAGCCAGCUCCCCUAGAAUGGAGUUAAAGUCUUGUCCUGGAGACUUCAAAAACUGAUUACUGUUUUUAAGAUACACAAGGUGAUAAGACAACAAAGUCUUGAUUAUCUGGAAGUCAGCUUAUUAUGGUUUUCCAGAUAAACUGGGCUUUUAGGCAAAAGCUGCACUUUGCAAGGGAAAAGAAUCUCUUAUUAGGGCUUCAUUUAAAAACAAAGAAUAUUCUUAGAGAUGUUUCAGAGUCAAUACACAUUCAGUCCAAUCUCCUAAAUGUUAGCAAGUGUAGUCAUAACUUGGAGACCUGUUGAAAAGCUGACUCCUGGGCCUCACCUGGGGAGAUUCUGAUUCAGUGGGAUGUGGUGGGGUCCUGGAAUCUGCAUUUUAGCCAGCAAUAGGAUGUGGAUGGUCUCAGACCACACUUCAAGAAACCCUAUUCUUUUUUUUUAAAAUAAAUUUAUUUAUUUUAUUUAUUUUUUUGGCUGAGCUGGGUCUCUGUUGCUGCACGCGGGCUUUCUCUAGUUGUGGCGAGUGGGGGCUACUCUUCAUCGCCGCGCGUGGGCUUCUCAUUGCGGCGGCUUCUCUUGUUGUGGAGCACGGGCUCUGGGCACGCGGGCUUGAGUAGCUGUGGCACACGGGCUCAGUAGUUGUGGCACGUGGGCUCAGUAGUUGUGGCUCACGGGCCUAGGUGCUCCGCGGCAUGUGGGAUCUUCCCAGACCAGGGCUCGAACCCGUAUCCCCUGCAUUGGCAGGUGGAUUCUAAACCACUGCACCACCAGGGAAGCCCAAGAAACCCUAUUCUAAAGCUUGCACUCCGUAUCUCUAGAACCUAACCACAAGAUAAUGGUGUUUCACACAAUAAUCAAGGGAGCAGAUUCAAGUGAUGGAAAGAUCCAGAAAAUGGGAGCCAUAUCUGGGCUUCUCUAUUCACCAGAAUAAGACGCUGAUCAGGCAAGUCUCUCAAGCUCUCUCUGUCUGAAUGACCCCAUUUAUUAAAAACAACGCAGAUUAAUAGUUCUCUGUAUUGCCACCCCUCAGACUGGUUGUGAAGACCAGAUGAUCUCAGUAGCUGUACUGUACAAAUAUAAUAAAAUGCUCUUUGUUAGGA